UAGAUUAGUAAUUACUCAUAUGUGGGUAAAUAUAAUUCGGUGAAUUAAGAAUCAAAUAUGGAACCUCGAGGGUUGGAAUCUAUAUUAGCUACGAAUUAGAUUAAUAAAGAAGUUAACACAAGAUCGAUAUUAAUGUGAUUCUAGAUUGAUUGAAAAAAGUCGUACGGAUCGCUCGAGGUGAGGAGUUUGGUAUUUCGACAUGAGUACUGUGAGUAGUAAUCUUACCACAAUUUGUGUUUUCAUAACCUUCAUGAUUUAUAUAUGAUUUUGAAAAUAAAUGUGUUACCGAUGCUUUGAAAUUGCAUGUGGGACAAGUCCUUUACUUGAUAUGGUACCGAACAGUUUACUUGAGAUGUUUAUCAGUUAAUAUAAAUGUUUUUACCGUUACUAAAUAUGUUUUACCACUACUUGAGAUGUUACAGUUAUUUGAAUUAUUCUCAUUGUUACUAUAUAUGUUUUACUGUUACUUGAGACAUGAUUACCGUUGCCGAAAUAAAAUUACAAGAUUUGAUAAGAAACGAUAUGCCCUUUAUUAUUUUGAAAAUGUUUUUGUAUGAGUAUUUACUGUUUACAAGAAAGAGUAUAAAUGGGAGGAGACUUUGAAGGAUCCCAUAGCUAAAGGUGGGUUCGUUAGACCUGGUGCACCUUUAUUUACCGAUUAACGAAUACAGUUACAGCCCUCGCUAAUGGGAAAGUAGAACUAGUAUAAAGUUACAGUUUUCCCUCGAGUAGGGACCUAUAAUUACAUAACUCCUUUUAUGAAUUGCGUCCAUGCAGUGAUACAGAUUACAUGAUCCUUUUCUAGAAACCUCCCAAAUAUAAAGAUUGACUAUGACACAGUAUUUACCGAGUUUAUUACUGAAUUGUUAAAUUAAUUUUGUUAUAGGAAAUACAUGAUGAGACUGAUUAUCAUUACUGUUUUAAGAAGGGCAUUUUAUUUUGUGAUUAUUGUGCAAGCAUGUUUUCUCACUUGUCCCAAAAUAAAAACGAUAGUGGUUAAGUGUUAUUACUCACUGAGUUGGCGACUCAUUCCUCGCUAAAUUUUUUUUACAGAAACAGCAGUUGAAGCAGGCGAGGAUUUCGUUAAUUAGAG
rnacentral:lncRNA from 1 species